rnacentral:rRNA from 1 species
AAGGGGAGUGGCAGACGGGUGAGUAACGCGUGGGAAUCUACCCAAUUCUUCGGAACAACACAUGGAAACGUGUGCUAAUACCGAAUGAGCCCUUCGGGGGAAAGAUUUAUCGGAAUUGGAUGAGCCCGCGUUGGAUUAGCUAGUUGGUGGGGUAAAGGCCUACCAAGGCGACGAUCCAUAGCUGGUCUGAGAGGAUGAUCAGCCACACUGGGACUGAGACACGGCCCAGACUCCUACGGGAGGCAGCAGUGGGGAAUAUUGGACAAUGGGCGCAAGCCUGAUCCAGCCAUGCCGCGUGAGUGAUGAAGGUCUUAGGAUUGUAAAGCUCUUUCACCGGUGAAGAUAAUGACGGUAACCGGAGAAGAAGCCCCGGCUAACUUCGUGCCAGCAGCCGCGGUAAUACGAAGGGGGCUAGCGUUGUUCGGAUUUACUGGGCGUAAAGCGCACGUAGGCGGACUUUUAAGUCAGGGGUGAAAUCCCGGGGCUCAACCCCGGAACUGCCUUUGAUACUGGAAGUCUUGAGUUCGAGAGAGGUGAGUGGAAUUGCGAGUGUAGAGGUGAAAUUCGUAGAUAUUCGCAGGAACACCAGUGGCGAAGGCGGCUCACUGGCU